rnacentral:lncRNA from 1 species
AUAACCUUUUCCUCUGCAGUAUUUUUGAGCAGUGGCUCCGAAGGCACCGUCCUCUUCAAGAAGUUUAUCCAGAAGCCAAUGCACCCAUUGGACAUAACCGGGAAUCCUACAUGGUUCCUUUUAUACCACUGUACAGAAAUGGUGAUUUCUUUAUUUCAUCCAAAGAUCUGGGCUAUGACUAUAGCUAUCUACAAGAUUCAGGUAAAGUUUACUUUCUUUCAGAGGAAUU